AGCGAACGCUGGCGGCAUGCCUAACACAUGCAAGUCGAACGAGACCUUCGGGUCUAGUGGCGCACGGGUGCGUAACGCGUGGGAACCUGCCCUUAGGUUCGGAAUAACUCCCCGAAAGGGGUGCUAAUACCGGAUAAUGUCUUCGGACCAAAGAUUUAUCGCCUUUGGAUGGGCCCGCGUUGGAUUAGCUAGUUGGUAGGGUAAAAGCCUACCAAGGCGACGAUCCAUAGCUGGUUUGAGAGGAUGAUCAGCCACACUGGGACUGAGACACGGCCCAGACUCCUACGGGAGGCAGCAGUGGGGAAUAUUGGACAAUGGGCGAAAGCCUGAACCAGCAAUGCCGCGUGAGUGAUGAAGGCCUUAGGGUUGUAAAGCUCUUUUACCCGGGAUGAUAAUGACAGUACCGGGAGAAUAAGCUCCGGCUAACUCCGUG
rnacentral:rRNA from 1 species